GAUGAACGCUGGCGGCGUGCCUAAUACAUGCAAGUCGAGCGAACAGACGAUGAGCUUGCUCCUCUGACGUUAGCGGCGGACGGGUGAGUAACACGUGGAUAACCUACCUAUAAGACUGGGAUAACUUCGGGAAACCGGAGCUAAUACCGGAUAAUAUAUUGAACCGCAUGGUUCAAUAGUUAAAGACGGUUUUGCUGUCACUUAUAGAUGGAUCCGCGCCGCAUUAGCUAGUUGGUAAGGUAACGGCUUACCAAGGCGACGAAGCGUAGCCGACCUGAGAGGGUGAUCGGCCACACUGGAACUGAGACACGGUCCAGACUCCUACGGGAGGCAGCAGUAGGGAAUCUUCCGCAAUGGGCGAAAGCUUGACGGAGCAACGCCGCGUGAGUGAUGAAGGUCUUCGGAUCGUAAAACUCUGUUAUUAGGGAAGAACAAAUGUGUAAGUAACUAUGCACGUCUUGACGGUACCUAAUCAGAAAGCCACGGCUAACUACGUG
rnacentral:rRNA from 1 species